GAGGGGAAUUGGGCAGUGAGGAGUAAGU
rnacentral:piRNA from 1 species